rnacentral:rRNA from 2 species
GAUGAACGCUGGCGGCGCGCCUAACACAUGCAAGUCGAACGAUUAAAGCACCUUCGGGUGUGUAUAAAGUGGCGAACGGCUGAGUAACACGUGGGCAACCUGCCCCUUUCAUUGGGAUAGCCACGGGAAACCGUGGAUAAUACCGAAUACUUCGAGACUUCCGCAUGGAAGACUCGAGAAAGCUCCGGCGGAGAGGGAUGGGCCCGCGGCCUGUUAGCUUGUUGGUGGGGUAACGGCCUACCAAGGCAAUGAUGGGUAGCUGGGUUGAGAGACCGACCAGCCAGAUUGGGACUGAGACACGGCCCAGACUCCUACGGGAGGCAGCAGUGGGGAAUCUUGCACAAUGGGCGAAAGCCUGAUGCAGCGACGCCGCGUGCGGGAUGAAGGCCUUCGGGUUGUAAACCGCUUUCAGCAGGGACGAGGCGAAA